GACGAACGCUGGCGGCGUGCCUAAUACAUGCAAGUCGAGCGCAGGAAGCUGACGGAACUCUUCGGAGGGAAGGCAGCGGAAUGAGCGGCGGACGGGUGAGUAACACGUAAGGAACCUGCCUCAAGGAUUGGGAUAACUCCGAGAAAUCGGAGCUAAUACCGGAUAGUUCAACGGACCGCAUGGUCCGCUGAUGAAGGGCGCUUCGGCGUCACCUUGAGAUGGCCUUGCGGUGCAUUAGCUAGUUGGUGGGGUAACGGCUCACCAAGGCGACGAUGCAUAGCCGACCUGAGAGGGUGAUCGGCCACACUGGGACUGAGACACGGCCCAGACUCCUACGGGAGGCAGCAGUAGGGAAUCUUCCACAAUGGACGAAAGUCUGAUGGAGCAACGCCGCGUGAGUGAUGAAGGUUUUCGGAUCGUAAAACUCUGUUGUAAGGGAAGAACACGUACGAGAGGAAAUGCUCGUACCUUGACGGUACCUUACGAGAAAGCCACGGCUAACUACGUGCCAGCAGCCGCAGUAAAAC
rnacentral:rRNA from 1 species